GCGGGUGUAGCUCAGUGGUAGAGCAUCUGCUUCCCAAGCAGAAUGUCGAGGGUUCGAUCCCCUUCACCCGCU
rnacentral:tRNA from 1 species